AAAUUGGUACCAGGCAUGGGGCACUGCUCUAAAGAUACCAGAAAAUGUGGAAACGACUUGGGAACUGGGUAACAGGCAGAGAUUGGAACAGUUUAGAGGGCUCAGAAGAGGACAG